GGCCCCUGCUCUCAUCUCAGACACCUGCUGGGCUUCCCCACGGGACCUGGCCUCUGGCCUCCUGCCACUGCUCCCAGAGCCAAAGUGAGCUGGGGACGCCACCCACAUGGCCACUGCUCCCCUCUCAAAAGUCUGGCCACCAAGGGAGCCAGUGCCUGGCCCAGAGAAAGAGCUUCCUAAAGAGAUGGGGGAGAGGAAGAGUCAAUAGCUGAGGGGGACAGCAGACGGACAGCAGACAGUCAGGCAGACACAACACAGGACAUGUAACGGAAGGAAGGAUGGACAGACAGGUGGAUGGUAGGAAGGAGAGGGACGGACCGACGGAUGGAAGGAUGGAUGACUGGAUGUGUCAGCAUGUGACAAGCAGAUCCAAAUCCCACUUAACACAGAAGGUCUGUGCCCUAAGACCCUGAAGACAGCCCAUGCUGGUGGCCUUCGCCUGGGCCUCCCUCAAACUCCUUGUAGCCUAUCAGCCACAUUCCCUGGGAAGGCAGCGUGCCCUCAGACCCAGAGCCCUGUCUCACCCCGGAGCGUCCGAGGGUGGCAUGUCUGGUCCUCUCUGACCCCACCCAGGGCCCAGGCCCAGGCCAAGCCAAGAACAUAGGGCUUGCUGAGGGCUUGCUGAGCACACGGACGGGGCGGGCGUCCAGGAGGCCUUGGGCUUGAGCUCCAUUUAGAGCAGCAGAACUCUGGCCCUGCCAGGUCUCUCUCCCCAAGGUCCUGCCAGGACUCCCUCAGACAUGGGGGCCUUGGGCAUCUGAAAAACUGCAAGGGUCCCAGCCCCUUCCCUGGGCACCUGUCACCUCAUCCUCCCUGAGGCAGCCCCAGUCCUGCGAGAGGGCACCCCGCUGUCCCGACCCCGAGGGCGCGUGGAAGGGAAGGCCUGGGCUCGCGCCCCACCUGUGCAGGCGUGGGUCUGGCAGACUCUCAGUGUCUUGCAGAUCGCCGGGAGCCACUUCCCUGGCUGGUGCUGGACCUACCGCAGGAGGACCUGGAGGAAGACGCCCCAGGAGCCAGCCUGUGGCCCACCACGGUCACCUUGCUCACCCUCUUCCUACUGAGUCUCUUCUACAGCACAGCGCUGACCGUGACAAGUGUGCGGGGCCCAGCCGACAGCAGAGAGGGCCCCCAGUACUGAGCAGAAGCCAGCCAGGCACACAGGGAGGAGGCUGGAGGAGCUUCUGGGAAGCCCAGCUGGAUGUCAGAGCUCAGCGCUGCUCAGAAACUGUCCGCCCACCCCCACACACAGGCCGUGCUGGCACAAUAAACUGAUGCCAAAGGCAAAGGUUCUCAGACUCUGAAUGAGAGGAGGGAAAAGAGAGGGACGGAGGUUUGG
rnacentral:lncRNA from 1 species